GUGGGGAAUAUUGGACAAUGGGCGAAAGCCUGAUCCAGCCAUGCCGCGUGUGUGAAGAAGGUCUUCGGAUUGUAAAGCACUUUAAGUUGGGAGGAAGGGCAUUAACCUAAUACGUUAGUGUUUUGACGUUACCGACAGAAUAAGCACCGGCUAACUUCGUGCCAGCAGCCGCGGUAAUACGAAGGGUGCAAGCGUUAAUCGGAAUUACUGGGCGUAAAGCGCGCGUAGGUGGUUCGUUAAGUUGGAUGUGAAAGCCCCGGGCUCAACCUGGGAACUGCAUCCAAAACUGGCGAGCUAGAGUACGGUAGAGGGUGGUGGAAUUUCCUGUGGAGCGGUGAAAUGCGUAGAUAUAGGAAGGAACACCAGUGGCGAAGGCGACCACCUGGACUGAUACUGACACUGAGGUGCGAAAGCGUGGGGAGCAAACAGGAUUAGAAACCCCGGUAGUCC
rnacentral:rRNA from 1 species